AGCAGGGAGCUCGUAGGAGGUGAAUGAUUGCACUUCUGAGCUUCUCUAAUGGUUAAGUGGACAAGAUAAUGUGAUAAGUUUUUUCUUAUUGGCCCCACAGAUGAGUUAUUAAUGCACACGCUUUCAAGCAGCACCUGUGAUUUGCAUGGAUACAAUAGAGCAAGAUUCUCAUUAUUUGGUGGGACGCUGCUUGAUCGAGGGCUGCUGAAAGGAGCUCGGUGCUGACUUUGUGCACUAUUUCUUGCUCUCCGUCACCAGCCGCCCGGUGCUUUGUCCUGCACCAGCUCAGCACCUCCUCCCGUGUGUCAUUAGCAAAGGAGAAUGAUUUCAUGUCUUGUUGGAUGAUAAAGUUAUCAGCAUUCACAUUUACUUUGCUUCUGUUCAGGGCCAGCCCCAGUUCAGGCUUUGUUGGAGGCAGCGAGUGGGAUUUGUGUUAGCAGAAACACCCGUGCAUUGCAUGCUGGGUGGGAUCUCUUGCUGUCCCCAGAAGAAGAGCUGAGGAGGCGUUGGCAUGGCACGUUCUGUCCUCAGCAUCACUGCUCUGUAUCUGUCUGGUUGUGAUGGCCCCUUUGGGAUCCAGAACCCCCAAAGGAGGGGCCCUGAGCCCAGGCUGAAGCCUGGAGCCUUGUCACCACUCAGCUACUUCUUCCUCAUGCCCUAAGGCAGCAUCUCUUUGCUCCAGCUCCUUUUUUCACGCUCUCUCUGGAAGCCGAUGUAAUCUCCCUUCUGCAAAACUUUAUUGGGAAUGCGGCCCAAGAGCGAUGCUGGCAGCUUGGGCCCCCCAUUAUUUGAUAUUGCAAUUGCAACCCUCAAUAGCCAUGCCCUGUGCUGGGACCACAGCUGUGGGAACUCAGCAGGGAUCCUCAGUGAUGCAAAUUGCUGGAUUGAGGGAUUAGGUGCUUCUGAGCCUUUCCUUGCUCUGGCAUCCAGCCCUGUAAGGAGCAGAGGCUCAGGGAAAGCUCUGCUAUCCUUCCACCCCUUUCUCCAGAGCCUGGGGUCCAGGGCUGCUGGCGAUGGGCAGGAUUUGAUAUUCAAGGCAGAGGGUCAGGAAAACAUCAUCUGGAAGGUGUCAGUCCAAUCUCACUGGCCUUUGUGGCUUUAUUUAUCUGAAAUCCCACAGAGCCAUCCUUCACUGCAGCUUCUAUCAAAAUCCAUCUGAUUGUGGUGUGGGUUUUGCAAGGUGUUUUUUUCCUUAAAGCCCCAGUCCUUGAAACUCUGUGAUUGCGUGGGAAUCCCAGGCUGUGUGCUUCUUAAUAAUAGGACAGGAGCACACUGGGGGUGUCAGGGCAGCAGGAGGGCAAAGAGCUGAGAUACCUGCAGGGGUUGUGGGUGCACUGAGCCGUGUGUGGCAGGUGAUGGAGGGAGCAAAAUGUGAUGGGCAGCGAUGCACACAUGGCAUCGUUAGGCUGUAACGAGGUGGCUCGUGCUGAUGAGCAGGUGCUGCAGUGGGGCUGGGUCAGAGGAGUCAGAAGAUCACACUGAUGGGGGGUUGAGCUGCCCUGAGUGCACUGUGACUUGCAGAAGGGGUAGAAGGUUUGGAGGUGAUGCUGAGCCUUCACAGGGAGAAGAAUCCAUUUUCCCAGCCCAUAUUCUCCCUGGGGAAGCUCAAGGGCAUGAGCCACGUGUUCCCAGCAGAUGGGAGGACACGGUGCGCACGCUGGUUGCCAACCAGGAGCCUGCAUCUCCUUCUGGCUGCUCUGUCACAGACAGGGCCGAAGUGGCUCCUGGAAGCACUUGCAGGCUCUCAGCAGACUGUCCUCUAGGAAAGGAGCUUUGAGGAUCCAAGAUCCUGAGUUUGCGAGGCACAGCUUUGGGCAGGAUCCCAGCGUUGCAUUUGGAUGCGCUUUUCCUCUUUGCUCCCUAGGGUGCGUUUGCAGCGCCGUGGCUUGGGCUGUUCACCCAGCACAGCCACGAAUGUGAGAUCACUUUGCGCAGGUCAGAGCCGAGCAGUUUAGGGAACAGCUUCUUGCAUUGCCAGAGCUUUCCCUGAAAAUCCCCCAUCCAUCCAGCGCUGACCCCGAGCUGUGACAAGCACACAGCGCUUGCCAAUAAAGCAGUGACUCGAUUUGAAUAAUAUCUGACAAUUACGUGCUGAGCCCCGGCAUUAUGCAAUAUUUAUGCAUGUCUGGACUGUGAAACAGUGAUUAUCUAAGAGCAGUAAUUGUUUGCAGUCUUACACUGAAUUUCUUUCCUUUUUUGGCCUCAGAGACCCAGAGUGGUAAUCAGCGGCACGCGCCGGCUCCUUCCCCACGUGCACCGGAGCAGCCCAGCCAUUAGCACAGCAGGGCUGCAGCACUGGGGCUCUCCCAGCAGCAAGAAGGCUUCUUUCAUGGCCUCGGGCUGUCUGAGAGCUGGUGAUUAGGGAGCAAGGAAAGGCAAAGAAGGGCUCUGCCUCGUCUCUGCUGUAGCUCUUGCAAGUGUAGAUGGGCUUUGAAGUGGUGAAGAGCAAGGUCGCGUCGGUGGUGAGAGGUACUGGGGAGGCACCAAGCAUCUCUGCCUCUCGCCUCCGUUCCCUCUUGCACACAUCGGGCAGCUGGAUGGUGGUGCUUGGAGAGGAGCAGAGCUGUGCUGCUGGCUGGCAGCAUGGGGGUCAGAAUCUGUGUUCUUCGCCCCCUCCGCCGCAGCGGCUGGGUUUUGCUUUGCUUUGCUCUGCUUUGCUCUGCUUUUGUUUCUCCCCCUCCCACCACCUCCUCUUCUUUUUCCAAGUGCUGUUUGCUGUCACCCUGGGCUGAGGAGAAGUCAGAGCUGAGAAGACAAAUGUGUGCUGUCAGAUUGCGGGGCUGGGGUGGGAGGAGAGGGCAGAGAGUUCUCCUGCCCUGCACACAAAUGCUGUGAUUUCUGCUGCAUAGCGGCACCCGGGCUUACUCGAGACAAUCUCUA